ACAGAGGUCCCAAGCGUUGUUCGGAUUCACUGGGCGUAAAGGGUGCGUAGGCGGCAAGGUAAGUCUGUUGUGAAAUCUCCGAGCCUAACUCGGAAACUGCAGUGGAUACUAUCUUGCUAGAGGAAUGGAGGGGAGACUGGAAUACUUGGUGUAGCAGUGAAAUGCGUAGAUAUCAAGUGGAACACCAGUGGCGAAGGCGAGUCUCCGGACAUUUCCUGACGCUGAGGCACGAAAGCCAGGGGAGCAAACGGGAUUAGAUACCCCGGUAGUCCUGGCCCUAAACGGUGCGCGUUUGCUGUGAGCGGAAUCGACCCCGCUCGUGGCGAAGUUAACACAUUAAACGCGCCGCCUGGGAAAUACGGCCGCAAGGUUA
rnacentral:rRNA from 1 species